AGAUUGAACGCUGGCGGCAGGCCUAACACAUGCAAGUCGAGCGGUAGAGAGGUGCUUGCAUCUCUUGAGAGCGGCGGACGGGUGAGUAAUGCCUAGGAAUCUGCCUAGUGGUGGGGGAUAACGUUCGGAAACGGACGCUAAUACCGCAUACGUCCUACGGGAGAAAGCGGGGGACCUUCGGGCCUCGCGCCAUUAGAUGAGCCUAGGUCGGAUUAGCUAGUUGGUGAGGUAAUGGCUCACCAAGGCGACGAUCCGUAACUGGUCUGAGAGGAUGAUCAGUCACACUGGGACUGAGACACGGCCCAGACUCCUACGGGAGCAGCAGUAGGGAAUAUUGGACAAGUGGG
rnacentral:rRNA from 1 species